rnacentral:rRNA from 1 species
AUUGAACGCUGGCGACAUGCCUUACACAUGCAAGUCGAACGGCAGCACGGGUGCUUGCACCUGGUGGCGAGUGGCGAACGGGUGAGUAAUACAUCGGAACAUGUCCUUUAGUGGGGGAUAGCCCGGCGAAAGCCGGAUUAAUACCGCAUACGAUCUACGGAUGAAAGCGGGGGACCUUCGGCCCUCGCGCUAUAGGGUUGGCCGAUGGCUGAUUAGCUAGUUGGUGGGGUAAAGGCCUACCAAGGCGACGAUCAGUAGCUGGUCUGAGAGGACGACCAGCCACACUGGGACUGAGACACGGCCCAGACUCCUACGGGAGGCAGCAGUGGGGAAUUUUGGACAAUGGGCGAAAGCCUGAUCCAGCAAUGCCGCGUGUGUGAAGAAGGCCUUCGGGUUGUAAAGCACUUUUGUCCGGAAAGAAAUCCUUGGCCCUAAUACGGUCGGGGGAUGACGGUACCGGAAGAAUAAGCACCGGCUAACUACGUG